GACGAACGCUGGCGGCGUGCCUAAUACAUGCAAGUAGAACGCAGUUGCGAACGGGUGAGUAACGCGUAGGUAACUGCCUCAUAGCGGGGGAUAACUAUUGGAAACGUUAGCUAAUACCGCAUACUGUGAGAUGUACCUGCGUUGUAUUAGCUAGUUGGUGAGGUAAAGGCUCACCAAGGCGACGAUACAUAGCCGACCGGAGAGGAUGAUCGGCCACACUGGGACUGGGACCCGGCCCAGACUCCUAGGGGAGGGAGCAGUGGGGAAUAUUGCACAAUGGGGGGAAGCUUGAUGCAGCCAGGCCGCGUGUAUGAAGAAGGCAUUCGGGUUGCAAAGUACUUUCAGCCAGGAGGCGUUACUCGCAGAAGAAGCAACGGCUAACUCCGUGCCAGCAGCCGCGGUAAUUC
rnacentral:rRNA from 1 species